rnacentral:rRNA from 1 species
UAUUUAUUGGAAUUUUAAUAAUUUAUUUAUUUAUAAUUUAUUUGUUAGAAAUAACUUUAUUUUUAGUAUUGUUUAAGGAAUUAAUAAAUAUUAUUUAUAGUUUAUUUUACUGUAAAGGUAGAAUUUUAAUAAUUUACAAGUAGAAUUAAUUUUUUGUACCUUUUGUAUCAGGGUUUAUUAAAUUAAUUUAUUUACCUAUAAAGUUCCCGAAAUUAAAGGAUCUAUAUUUAUUAUUUGUAGUUUAAUGUUUCAAAAUUAUUAAUAAAUUAAAUAUAGAUGUAAUAUUCUAUUCAUCUUUAAUAUAUCUGGUUCUUUAAUAAUUGAAUUUAAUUCAGAGUUAUUUAUUUAUUAUUUUAUAAUUAUAUUUAAAUUAAUCAUAAAUAACUUAAAGUUAGUGGGGAUAAGCUCAUUAAUUAUUCUAUAAUUAUUUUAAAAUUUAAAUUUAUUUUGUAGAAUUAGAAAUUUUCAUCAAUUAUAUUUUGUUAUAAUUACAUAACAUUUAUGUUUAAUUUAUUAUGUAUUUAGAUUAUUAUUAAGGAUUAUUAUUUAAUAUUUUUUUAUUAGGUAUUAUGAUAAAAUUAGUAAAUUUGGUAUUUUGUUUAUUAAUAUAUAGUAACUCGGCAAAUUUAUUCUUCACCUGUUUAACAAAAACAUGUCUUGAUGAUUUUAAUAUUAAGUCUGGCCUGCUCAAUGAUUUAAUUAAAUAUCCGCAGUAUUCUAACUGUGCAAAGGUAGCAUAAUCAUUUGUCUUUUAAUUGGAGGCUUGUAUGAAUGGUCGGAUGAAGGAAUUACUUUCUUUAUAUUAAAAAUUGAAUUUAAUAUUUUAGUUAAAAAGCUUAAAUUUUUAAGUGGGACGAGAAGACCCUAUAGAAUUUAACUUAAUUAGAUUAUUGAUCAAUUUGGAUUAUACUUGUUUAAUAAUUUAAUUAAGUUUUGUUGGGGUGACAGUGAGAUUAAAUUAACUCUCAUAAUUUAUUUUUUACUUAUUAGUAUAUGAAUGAUCCCUUGUUUUGGAUAUUUAGAUUAAAUUACCUUAGGGAUAACAGCGUUAUUUUUUCUGAGAGUUCUUAUUGAUGAAAGAGUUUGCGACCUCGAUGUUGGAUUAAAAUAAGAUUUAAGUGCAGAAGCUUAAUUUCUAGGUCUGUUCGACCUUUAAAUUUUUACAUGAUCUGAGUUCAGACCGGCGUAAGCCAGGUCGGUUUCUAUCUUCUUAUAUUUAAAUGUAAAUUAGUACGAAAGGACCAUUUACAUCAAAUAGUUUGUUACUUCUGAAUUCUUUUAA